AUUGAACGCUGGCGGCAGGCCUAACACAUGCAAGUCGAACGAGUGGCGGACGGGUGAGUAAUGUCUGGGAAACUGCCUGAUGGAGGGGGAUAACUACUGGAAACGGUAGCUAAUACCACAUACCAUCAGCUGUGCCCAGAUGGGAGUAGCUUGUUGGUGGGGUAACGGCUCACCAAGGCGACGAUCCCUAGCUGGUCUGAGAGGAUGACCACCCACACUGGAACUGUGAAACGGUCCAGAUCCCUACGGGAGGAAGCAGUGGGGAAUAUUGAACAAUGGGCGAAAGCCGGAUGAAGCAAUGCCGCGUGUAUGAAGAAGGCCUUCGGGUUGUAAAGUACUUUCAGCGGGGAGGCGUUACCCGCAGAAGAAGCACCGGCUAACUCCGUGCCAGCAGCCGCGGUAAUUC
rnacentral:rRNA from 1 species